rnacentral:lncRNA from 1 species
CCCAUCAACAGGUUAAAAAAAGAAAAAGACAAACUGUAUGUAUAGUAUGUUUCUCUAAUGCAUUGUUACUCAGAAAGAAUAAGGAUGAGGAGAAUGUAACAACAUGAAAGAAUCUCACUGUCCUAAUAUUGAGCACAAGAAACCAGAAAUACAUACAGAAAAGUAUACCAUACUGAUUGUUCUAUUUAUAUGAAAUUCAAGAGCUGGCUAAACUAAUCUAUGAUGACAGAAGUCAGAAUGUGAUUACUUUUGGAAGGAGGAGCAUUAACCAAAAUGGGACAUAAAGGAGACUGUUGAGAUACCUGAAAUAUUCUUGUCAUAAUCUGGGUAGUGUUGUAUGAGUAUAGAUAUGUAUUAAAUUGUGUCUCCCCACACUUUCAAAUUCAUAUGUUGAAGCUCUCUUCCCCAAUAUGGUUAUGUUUAAAAACAGGGCCUUUAGAAGGGAAUUAAGGUUAAAUGAUACCAUAGGUCCCUAAUCCCAUAAGAUUAGCAUCCUUAUAAAAAGAAACAGCAGAGUUUGUGCACUCACUCUGUCUUUCACUCUCUGUCUCUCUGUCUGUCUCCCUCCCUCUCCUUCUCUCCCUCCUACUCUCUGCAUGCAUAGCACAAGGAGAGACCAUGUGAACACACAGCAAGAACGUGGUGCUCUGCAAGUCAGAAACAGACCCUUCAUCAGACACCAAAUCAGCCAGCACCUUGAUCUAGGAUUUCUGGCCUCCAAAAUGAAAGUGUUUGCUUCCCUUUCACCUUCCGCCAUGAUUGCAAGUUUCCUGAGGCCUCCCAGUCAUCCUUCCUGUUAAGCCUGCAGAACUGUGAGUCAAUUAAACCUCUUUUCUUCAUAAAUUACCCAGUCUCAGGUAGUUCUUUAUAGCAGUGUGAGAAUGGACUAAAACAAUUGUGUGUUGAGAUUCAUCCAAACUCUUAUGUGUAGUUGUAGAUCAUUCAUUUUAUUACUGUGUGGUAUUCCAUCAUGUGAACAGACCACAAUUUAUGUAUCCAUUCUACUACUGAUGGGCAGUGGAUGGCUAUUACAAAUACUGCUGCUAUAAAUAUUUGGUGACGUUGGGUGUGUACUUUGAAGUGGAAUUGCUGGCUCAAAGGUAAGUGCAUGUCCAGAUAUACUUGUUUAGAUCCUUCUUGCCCUCUUGUAUUUGUCUAUCUCCCCAGCUAUACUUAAGGUCCUUGAAGGUCAGGUCUCUGUCAGUAUUCACUGCUAUCUGCUCAAUACCUUGUAUACAAUGGGUGCUUAAUAAAUGCUUGCUGCAUAAAGAAAGGCACCAAUGAGCCCAAGUGGCAUAUCCAGGCCUGUCUAUCAAUCUCACCCCACUCCUACCUGCUCCCCCACAC